rnacentral:rRNA from 1 species
UGGGGAAUUUUGGACAAUGGGCGAAAGCCUGAUCCAGCAAUGCCGCGUGUGUGAAGAAGGCCUUCGGGUUGUAAAGCACUUUUGUCCGGAAAGAAAUCCUCUGGGUUAAUACCUCGGGGGGAUGACGGUACCGGAAGAAUAAGCACCGGCUAACUACGUGCCAGCAGCCGCGGUAAUACGUAGGGUGCAAGCGUUAAUCGGAAUUACUGGGCGUAAAGCGUGCGCAGGCGGUUUGCUAAGACCGAUGUGAAAUCCCCGGGCUCAACCUGGGAACUGCAUUGGUGACUGGCAGGCUAGAGUAUGGCAGAGGGGGGUAGAAUUCCACGUGUAGCAGUGAAAUGCGUAGAGAUGUGGAGGAAUACCGAUGGCGAAGGCAGCCCCCUGGGCCAAUACUGACGCUCAUGCACGAAAGCGUGGGGAGCAAACAGGAUUAGAUACCCUGGUAGUCCACGCCCUAAACGAUGUCAACUAGUUGUUGGGGAUUCAUUUCCUUAGUAACGUAGCUAACGCGUGAAGUUGACCGCCUGGGGAGUACGGUCGCAAGAUU